GUGCCAGCAGCCGCGGUAAGACAGAGGUGCCAAGCGUUAGGCGGAAUCACUGGGCUUAAAGCGUGUGUAGGCGGACUUGCAAGUGCUUUGUGAAAUCCCACGGCUCACCCGUGGAAUAGCUUGGCAUACUGCGAGUCUUGAGCCAUCUAGGGGCAACUGGAACAAAUGGUGGAGCGGUGAAAUGCGUAGAUAUCAUUUGGAACGCCAAUGGUGAAAACAGGUUGCUGGGGAUGUGCUGACGCUGAGACACGAAAGCUAGGGGAGCAAACGGGAUUAGAUACCCCCGUAGUCC
rnacentral:rRNA from 1 species